rnacentral:rRNA from 1 species
GACGGGGGGUCCAAGCGUUGUUCGGAAUCAUUGGGCGUAAAGCGUGUGCAGGUGGUCUUGUAAGUUGGAUGUGAAAGCCCCGAGCUUAACUCGGGAAGUGCAUUCAAAACUGCAAGACUUGAGUAUGGAAGAGGGUCGUGGAAUUCCAGGUGUAGUGGUGAAAUACGUAGAUAUCUGGAGGAACACCGGUGGCGAAGGCGGCGACCUGGUCCUAUACUGACACUCAUACACGAAAGCGUGGGGAGCAAACAG